rnacentral:rRNA from 1 species
GACAACCAAGAGAUUGGGCGUCCCCGUUCGGGGGACAGGGUGACAGGUGGUGCAUGGUUGUCGUCAGCUCGUGUCGUGAGAUGUUGGGUUAAGUCCCGCAACGAGCGCAACCCUCGCCUCUAGUUGCCAGCAUUCGGUUGGGCACUCUAGAGGGACUGCCGGCGACAAGUCGGAGGAAGGUGGGGAUGACGUCAAAUCAUCAUGCCCCUUAUGACCUGGGCUACACACGUGCUACAAUGGGCGGUACAAAGGGCUGCGAACCCGCGAGGGGGAGCGAAUCCCAAAAAGCCGCUCUCAGUUCGGAUUGCAGGCUGCAACUCGCCUGCAUGAAGCCGGAAUCGCUAGUAAUCGCGGAUCAGCAUGCCGCGGUGAAUACGUUCCCGGGCCUU